AAAUAACAUUGAUUUCCCUAGUAACGGCGAGUGAAGAGGAGAGAGCUCAAAGUUGGAACCUGUUUGGCUUAGCUAAACCGGAUUGUAAACUGUAGAAGUUUUUUCCAGACACGCCUGGUAAAAAAGUCCUUUGGAACAGGGCAUCAUAGAGGGUGAGAAUCCCGUCUUUGGCCAGAGCUGUUGUCUUUUGUGAUACAUUUUCAAAGAGUCAGGUUGUUUGGGAAUGCAGCCUAAAUUGGGUGGUAAAUCUCACCUAAAGCUAAAUAUUUGCGAGAGACCGAUAGCGAACAAGUACCGUGAGGGAAAGAUGAAAAGAACUUUGAAAAGAGAGUUAAACAGUAUGUGAAAUUGUUAAAAGGGAACCGUUUGGAGCCAGACUGGCUUGAUCGUAAUCAAUCUAAGCUUCGGCUUGGAUGCACUUGCGGUCUUUGCCUGCCAACGACAAUUUUUUUUGGAGGAAAAAACUAGGAGAAAUGUGGCCCCUCGGGGUGUUAUAGUCUCUUAGAAAAUACUCUGAAUUGGAUUGAGGAACGCAGUGAAUGCCUUUAGGCAAGAUUGCUGGGCGCUUUCGCUGAUAGGUGUUAGAAUUUCUGCCUUGGGUGGUGCUAAUAGUUAAAGGAGAAACUCGCUUAGUAUAUUUUUUAUUCGCUUAGGUUGUUGGCUUAAUGACUCUAAUGAC
rnacentral:rRNA from 1 species